rnacentral:siRNA from 1 species
UUCACUCGACCACCGUUACUCA